rnacentral:rRNA from 1 species
GGUCAAGCUACAAAGAGCACAUGGUGGAUGCCUUGGCGCCAGGAGGCGAAGAAGGACGUGACUACCUGCGAAAAGCGACGGGGAGCUGGAAGUGAGCGACGAGCCGUCGAUGUCCGAAUGGGGAAACCCGGCACGCGUCAUGGUGUGUCGUCAUGCACUGAAUACAUAGGUGUAUGAAGCCAACGUGGGGAACUGAAACAUCUAAGUACCCACAGGAAAGGAAAUCAACCGAGACUCCGCAAGUAGCGGCGAGCGAACGCGGAAGAGCCCAAACCGUGGGGAUUCCCCUGCGGGGUUGUGGGAGCCCGAUAUGGGACCGUGGAUUUUAGCAGAACGGCAUGGGAAGGCCGGCCAAAGAAGGUGAGAGCCCUGUAUGUGAAAGAGGAAGCGGACCUAGGGAUUUCCCGAGUAGGGCGGGACACGUGGAAC